UUUCCCCAUCAUUUUAGCUUUGAUAUCCAAUUUAGUAACGUUGUCUGCUCUUCCAUUUCUUUGAUUGCAUUAAGACUCAUUGUGAACUAGGAACAGAAGGUUCACUUUUCUUUUCACAUGUACAUUGUACAUGUAUACAGGUAUGAUGAAAGCAUCAGGAGAACAAGGUCAGCAGGAGUGGAUGUUUCCAGCCUAUGCUGGGACUGGGAGCACACAACAAUGUAGCAAUAACAACACAGUGCAGUGACAUGCACUUCACCAGUAGCACAGUACUACUAUUCAGCCAGACUGAAGUCAGGGGUGAUGAAGACGAUGCUGCCUUUGGUGUGCUGGAACUGCGGUGAGGAGGAAACGCUGCCCAUACUGGCAGAGAAGACUCAGCUGCAUACCAGACAAUAAACCCUGUUUGUCAGGCCUGCAAAAAUGUGACAGGACGACAACUGCCGUUCCACCUGAUUUAUUGCUGUUUUGAUG